UGGGGAAUAUUGGACAAUGGGGGCAACCCUGAUCCAGCAAUGCCGCGUGUGUGAAGAAGGUCUUCGGAUUGUAAAGCACUUUCGACGGGGACGGUGAUGACGGUACCCGUAGAAGAAGCCCCGGCUAACUUCGUGCCAGCAGCCGCGGUAAUACGAAGGGGGCUAGCGUUGCUCGGAAUGACUGGGCGUAAAGGGCGUGUAGGCGGUUUACACAGUCAGAUGUGAAAUCCCCGGGCUUAACCUGGGAGCUGCAUUUGAUCACGUGUAGACUAGAGUGUGAGAGAGGGUUGUGGAAUUCCCAGUGUAGAGGUGAAAUUCGUAGAUAUUGGGAAGAACACCGGUGGCGAAGGCGGCAACCUGGCUCAUGACUGACGCUGA
rnacentral:rRNA from 1 species